CUUGGACCAUAUGCCCUGGACCAUACCCUAAGGCAAUAUGAUACUUAAAUAAAAUUUGGGCUUCUCUUGUGUUUCUAAGACACUUGAUGUACUAAAUGCCUAUUCCUCCCCAUACUCCCAGACAUCCUGAGAUCUUCUGAUGCUUUCUUAUCUCAAGUUCUGUUCUCACUGUCUAGUCUUAAAUGUGUGACUGAGCUAAUAAGGCUCCCUUUCCUAAUAGAGUAGAAAAACAUCUCAGUGGCUCAUGUUUUGUGUAAAUGAACUUCUUUGACUCCCAUAAAUGCCCAUUUUACAAAUAACUAGAAAGAAAGAAGAUACAAGAUGGGAUAGUCAGUGGUAUAGUUUUUAGCUUUAAAAACAAAUACGGG
rnacentral:lncRNA from 1 species